CUUUCGGAGCUGUGCGGCAUUCUGAGCAGGUGGAGUUUGAGGCUGGAUAGACAGUUUGAAAGGUACAAAUAAUGGUUUGAAUAAAGAAAGGUAUUAAUGGGUCACCUCAAGUGAAGGCACUGCAAACACAAUGAUUGGUCAUUCUGAAUUUCCGGUCCUUCAUUCUGAAUUUCAAAGGCUCCUGUGACAAGUGGACAUGCAGUGACUGCACCUUUGUUUCUGAGGUGCCUGGAUGGAGGCUCAAAUAGAAGAUGGUGUCAGAUAUAUUGUGUUAAAAUUUUACCAUUAAAGUGUAUUAUAACAUGAA
rnacentral:lncRNA from 1 species